GAUGAACGCUGGCGGCGUGCCUAAUACAUGCAAGUCGAGCGAACGGACGAGAAGCUUGCUUCUCUGAUGUUAGCGGCGGACGGGUGAGUAACACGUGGAUAACCUACCUAUAAGACUGGGAUAACUUCGGGAAACCGGAGCUAAUACCGGAUGAUAUUUUGAACCGCAUGGUUCAAAAGUGAAAGACGGUCUUGCUGUCACUUAUAGAUGGUUCCGCGCUGCAUUAGCUAGUUGGUAAGGUAACGGCUUACCAAGGCAACGAUGCGUAGCCGACCUGAGAGGGUGAUCGGCCACACUGGAACUGAGACACGGUCCAGACUCCUACGGGAGGCAGCAGUAGGGAAUCUUCCGCAAUGGGCGAAAGCCUGACGGAGCAACGCCGCGUGAGUGAUGAAGGUCUUCGGAUCGUAAAACUCUGUUAUUAGGGAAGAACAUACGUGUAAGUAACUGUGCACAUCUUGACGGUACCUAAUCAGAAAGCCACGGCUAACUACGUG
rnacentral:rRNA from 1 species